UACAGAGGUCUCAAGCGUUGUUCGGAUUCAUUGGGCGUAAAGGGUGCGUAGGCGGCGCGGUAAGUCGGGUGUGAAAUCUCGGGGCUUAACUCCGAAACUGCAUUCGAUACUGCCGUGCUUGAGGACUGGAGAGGAGACUGGAAUUUACGGUGUAGCGGUGAAAUGCGUAGAUAUCGUAAGGAAGACCAGUGGCGAAGGCGGGUCUCUGGACAGUUCCUGACGCUGAGGAGCGAAAGCCGUGGGGAGCGAACAGG
rnacentral:rRNA from 1 species